CAGGACAGGUAAGUGUGUAGAUGGGCCAGGACAGGUAAGUGUGUAGAUGGGUCAGGACAGGUAAGUGUGUAGAUGGGUCAGGACAGGUAAGUGUGUAGAUGGGUCAGGACAGGUAAGUGUGUAGAUGGGUCAGGACAGGUAAGUGUGUAGAUGGGUCAGGACAGGUAAGUGUGUGUAGAUGGGUCAGGACAGGCAGGUGUGUAGAUGGGUCAGGACAGGUAGGUGUGUAGAUGGGUCAGGACAGGUAGGUGUGUAGAUGGGUCAGGACAGGUAGGUGUGUAGAUGGGUCAGGACAGGCAGGUGUGUAGAUGGGUCAGGACAGGCAGGUGUGUAGAUGGGUCAGGACAGGUAGGUGUGUAGAUGGGUCAGGACAGGCAGGUGUGUAGAUGGGUCAGGACAGGUAGGUGUGUAGAUGGGUCAGGACAGGUAGGUGUGUAGAUGGGUCAGGACAGGCAGGUGUGUAGAUGGGCCAGGACAGGUAGGUGUGUAGAUAGG